rnacentral:rRNA from 1 species
UACGUAGGGGGCAAGCGUUGUCCGGAAUCAUUGGGCGUAAAGCGCGUGUAGGCGGCUCGAUAAGUCUGCUGUGAAAGUCCAGGGCUCAACCCUGGGAUGCCGGUGGAUACUGUCGAGCUCGAGUCCGGAAGAGGCGAGUGGAAUCCUGGUGUAGCGGUGAAAUGCGCAGAGUAUCAGGAGGAACACCAAUGGCGAAGGCAGCUCGCUGGACGUGACUGACGCUGAGACGCGAAAGCGUGGGGAGCAAACAGGAUUGA